rnacentral:rRNA from 1 species
ACAUGUGGGGCAAGCGUUGUUCGGAAUUACUGGGCAUAAAGGGUGCGUAGGCGGCUUGCUAAGUCAGUGGUGAAAUCGUCCGGCCUAACCGGACACGUGCCAAUGAUACUGGCGAGCUAGAGUGCGUGAGGGAUGGGGGGAACGAGCAGUGUAGCGGUGAAAUGCGUAGAUAUUGCUCGGAAGGCCAACGCCGAAGGGACCCCAUUGGUGCGCAACUGACGCUGAGGCACGAAAGCGUGGGGAGCAAACAGGA